ACUAUGUGCGGAUUAAUUGGAGUAUGUGUAUCAAGCAUGCAUUCACACUUUUGCUGAAUUUAAAAUCAAACAAUCACCACAAAAGGGAAUUUAAAUAAGAAAGGUUUAGAGGUUACCAAAGAAAAUUUCUCCAGCAAUUUUGAAAAAAAUUUAGGCAAACCUCGACAGCAUUCCUUUUCCAGCAGUUCCCUUUUUGAUUGUCUCAGAUGCUCUCUUUGAUUCCUGAUCAAAUCAUACAAAAAGAAAAACCCAAAAAUUAGUAAGAGAGAAAAAAAGGAUAAGUAAAGUAACAAAAAUAGAAAAUAUUUUUAUUAUUUUUUUAAGAUAUAUAUAUUAUUAUCAUUAUUUUAUUUUUAUUUAUUUUUUAUUUUUUUAAUAAAAAGAAAAACAACUAUGCUAGCAAUCCCCGGCAACGGCGCCAAAAAUUGAUAGUCAACUUUAAAGACCACGCAAUAGCACGUAUCUAGUAGGAUAGUGAUUACGGGUAUCGAUCCAUAGGGAUUGGGGUAUAGUUGUUUUCUUAAAAAUAAAAAUAUUUAAAAGGAUGAAUUUGUGAAGACUAUUAAACUAAGCAAUUUAAUAAAAGAAAAUGCAAUUAAAAUGAUAUCAGUUUGGG
rnacentral:lncRNA from 1 species